GUGUGCUUUGUCAGUGUGUUUGUGUGCCGAAUGGGUAACGCAUUAUUAUGUGUAGGUGCAGAUGUCUAGAUCAUUGCACUGGUGAUUGCUGAAGUCAAACAGGAUUGCGUAUGAGAACCUGGUCUGCACACUUAUAUUGAUCCUGAGCUCAGGGGUGGACAAUAUGGGUGCAAGAUAUAUGUACCAGUGAUGGCAUUCCUAUGUCACCAGAAAUACAGUACAAUAGCUGAAUCAUCAGGGGUAACAACUGGCAAAGCAGCUUCACAUUGCAGCCACCUUUCUCAGGUGUUUACCCAGGGUUCUACAAUCCCUUUGACAGAAGCGACAGUUGACUGUUGUCUCUCAAACAGAAGUAAAUGAAGAACUAUACAAAAUAUAAAAUAACACAAAGAUUGUAAGCUUUGUGGGGCUCAUUUUACAAAUAACAGAGCAUUACAUUUCUUCUUUCUGCAGUCUGCUCCAAAUUUUCCAGUAUUAUUUACCAGGACAUGUCUGCAUUAAAUACUGGAAAGCUACUAGGGGCACCUGUUACAAUUAUCCUGCUAUCCUAAAACUUUAAACUAUGGUAAGAGGGGGACAGUGUAGAUUGAGGUCUGUGCCAUAAUAUGCCAAAUAAAUCUUCAUACCAACAGUGUAGGAUAGGGGGCAAUACACAGGGCCCCACUAAACAGGUGGUGCUUGGCUUCUUUGAUUUGAUCCACACAUAAAAGGGGUGAGGGAAGAGAGGGAGCAACAGUGGCUUCAAUCAGGUGAUUUGGGGGACUCUCAGCAAAUUUGUUUUAACUAUUUAUUUGCAGCAGUGACAUUUCAAUAGUUAAAAGAAAACCUAGGGAUUUAGAAGUGUGUUAUGCUUCUCGCAGAGAAAGUGAGAGCUAGUGCUACAUGCAGGGCCAGUGCAAGACUAUUUUGCGCCCUAGGCAAAUCCAAGUAUUUGCACCCCACCCAAAAGAAAGAAAGAUGCCAAGCUUUGUG